GACAGAGGUCCCAAGCGUUAGGCGGAAUCACUGGGCUUAAAGCGUGUGUAGGCGGCGCGGUAAGUCGGGUGUGAAAUCUUGGAGCUUAACUCCGAAACUGCAUUCGAUACUGCCGUGCUUGAGGACUGGAGAGGAGACUGGAAUUUACGGUGUAGCGGUGAAAUGCGUAGAUAUCGUAAGGAAGACCAGUGGCGAAGGCGGGUCUCUGGACAGUUCCUGACGCUGAGGCACGAAGGCCAGGGGAGCAAACGGG
rnacentral:rRNA from 1 species